CCAUUAGUUAAUAAUAAUUUCAAUAAUCUAGUGUAACAACAUUACACUUGCCACACAUGUAACCAUGGUUCCCAGAGAGGUAAUGAUACGCUGCGUCCCCUUGCCAUGCCUACUGCCUGCCUGUUUAUGUCUCCUUCAGACAACUAAUUUGGUGACAUAUUCAGUUGGUGCCCUUUUAUGCUUCUGGGCAUCCGCCCAUGACAUCACUGGCCACAUGGACCAAUAGGAUUGGCGUUUUUUCACACAUGCUUCAGACACCAGUCAAGCUGGCAGCAUUCCCCAUUGUGUCUGAUUGAGGAUGCAGCGUCUCCUUCCCUCUCAGGGAACCAUGGUUAUAUGCAUAACCCAAGAUGUCUUCAGCUUGUUAGUCAAUUCAAGGGUUGUUUUGGUUUUUACAUUCAAACUGCAUUCCUGAAAUUCUUUCAGGAAGCAAUGGAUCAUUUGUGUAAAACAGAAGUUGAAGAGGGAUCUUCAAAAGAUGUGAAGCAGGAAAUUCAAAUAAUAAUUGUCGGUUUGACAGUCUUUGUGGCAUGACAAAUCGCUGUAUAAAUGCCUCUUGAGAGCCACUCCUGGGACGGUUCAGAAAGCUGCUGGAUAAUCUCACAAGCAUUGACUCCAGCGGCACAGAUCGGCUCCAGUGUCUGAGCCGUCCCGCAGACUUGUGCAGAGCG